GGAGUAGAUAGGGAAGGGGGUAGGACAACUUGCUCUAUUUGAUUGUGCACGCCAGGUUGAUUGCAUUCGUGAGAUCAAGUCAAGGUUCCAAUCACCCCCACCUGUCCCAAUGAGAUCCAUUGUGAUUAGACAUGUGUGAGACGGCUCUGUGAGUCAUGCAGCUGCUUGAUUUUAGUGGGCUCACGUGAAGGUUCCAAUCUCCUAGCCCUGUCCCAUUGUGAUGUCAUACCAUAGGUAAAUGAGAUCCAUUGUGAUUGGACAUGUGUGAGAUGGCACUGCGACUCGUGCAGCAGCUUGAUUUUAACAUUUGUUGAUGUUUUUUUACUUAAAAAGCAGGGAAAUUAAUAACCAAAUGUUCUAAUUUUCAAAACAAAAUGUGGAGGUGGAAAAACUCUACAGGAAUAUGUAAAAAUGUCUCCGUUACAGCAAAGGCUAUUUAAAAAAAACCAUUUU